UUCUGUGUGUAUGCUUUUACAUUCAUCUACACUUUCAUCCCUUUCUGUUUUCCUAUUUCUUCGCCCACACAUAACUGCGCCGCGUCAUUUGCGAAGAAGAGACGCAAUUACGAACGCGCGCAUCCACCUACACUUUUUCAUUUACUGUGAUACAUUUGAUCUACCCACGCAAUGACCCCAGCACGUAGAUACCCUCGGGAUGUUUCCGCCCCCUUCUCUUCUUCACCCCUCUCCACUUCAUUCGCUUCUUCUCCCUCAUUCUUCCAUUCCUCUCACUAAUUGUUUUACUCGUCUGGAUGGUUACAAAAUACAAGGUAAAAUUUUUUUCAAACCACAUCUUCCAAUUCAUCUCUCGCAACAGGCCAAACGCCCACGUGAAAAUGUAAACACCCACAUAGCUCUUACGUCAACUUAUAGUAGAUCGCUAGGGAUAACUAGAUACUGAGAGGAGCUGAAGAGUUUAAUAAAUAUUUUACUUCUUCAUUGCAUGAUAAUGUUAAAUCUCAGUGGAAAUAUUUAUUGUCGCGGUUUCAUUAAAAUUGUCCGCAGAACUUUAUUAAUGUGUGCGUGCACUGACCAAAUCGUGAGAUAUAAAUAAAUCUUUUUCAUAAAAAUAAAUUAUAUGUAGCCUACAUAAUAUGCAACAAUUAAAUCUUAUGACCUUCGUCAAUUUUAAUCA